rnacentral:tRNA from 1 species
UAUAUAAUAAGCUAAAUUUAAGCUAAUAGGCUCAUACCCUAUCAAUAAAUUUUAAUAAUUUUUAUAUAA